CCUACGGGUGGCUGCAGUGAGGAAUAUUGGUCAAUGGACGAGAGUCUGAACCAGCCAAGUAGCGUGAAGGAUGACUGCCCUAUGGGUUGUAAACUUCUUUUAUAUGGGAAUAAAAUGUUCCACGUGUGGGCUUUUGUAUGUACCAUAUGAAUAAGGAUCGGCUAACUCCGUGCCAGCAGCCGCGGUAAUACGGAGGAUCCGAGCGUUAUCCGGAUUUAUUGGGUUUAAAGGGAGCGUAGAUGGGUUGUUAAGUCAGUUGUGAAAGUUUGCGGCUCAACCGUAAAAUUGCAAUUGAUACUGGCAGCCUUGAGUACAGUUGAGGUAGGCGGAAUUCGUGGUGUAGCGGUGAAAUGCUUAGAUAUCACGAAGAACUCCGAUUGCGAAGGCAGCCUACUAAACUGCCACUGACAUUGAUGCUCGAAAGUGUGGGUAUCAAACAGGAUUAGAUACCCGGGUAGUC
rnacentral:rRNA from 1 species